rnacentral:misc_RNA from 1 species
AAGUCGUAACAAGGUUUCCGUAGGUGAACCUGCGGAAGGAUCAUUAUUGAACAAACUUGGCGGGUUGUUGCUGGUCCUCUGAAAAAAGGAGGGCAUUGUGCACGCUUUGCCUAUGUUUCUUCUCUCUACCCACCUGUGCACAUCUGGUAGGCUCAGAUACCCUUCGAGGCAACUCGGUCAUGAAGCUCCGUCCCCUCUCUCCGGUGACUGCUUCUACAUUUCUGGGCCUACGUCUUUCUUCAUCCACGCUAUUUUGUAUGUCACCGAAUGUAUAUACCGGACUUUUAAAAGUCUAUAAACCUAUACAACUUUCAACAACGGAUCUCUUGGCUCUC